UACUUUCAGCAGUGAGGAAGGUGGGUAUGUUAAUAGCAUAUUCAUUUGACGUUUAGCUGCAGAAGAAGCACCGGCUAACUCCGUGCCAGCAGCCGCGGUAAUACGGAGGGUGCGAGCGUUAAUCGGAAUUACUGGGCGUAAAGCGCAUGCAGGUGGUUUGUUAAGUCAGAUGUGAAAGCCCGGGGCUCAACCUCGGAAUUGCAUUUUGAAACUGGCAAACUAGAGUACUGUAGAGGGGGUAGGAAUUUCAGGUGUAGCGGUGAAAUGCGUAGAGAUCUGAAGGAAUACCGGUGGCGAAGGCGGCCCCCUGGACCAGAUACUGACACUCAGAUGCGAAAGCGUGGGGAGCAAACAGGAUUAGAUACCCUGGUAG
rnacentral:rRNA from 1 species